rnacentral:antisense_RNA from 1 species
CUUCAUCGACCCGAGCCACAGCGGCCGGUCCGCGGGCCGCUGCUGACCGUAGGUCGCCAGCAACGCCUGCGCCUC